rnacentral:rRNA from 1 species
GGACGAACGCUGGCGGCGUGCCUAAUACAUGCAAGUCGAACGGUCUUUCUAUGGAAGCUUGCUUCCACUGAGAAGAUAGUGGCGAACGGGUGAGUAACACGUGGGUAACCUGCCCAUAAGAGGGGGAUAACAUCCGGAAACGGGUGCUAAUACCGCAUAGUUUUCUUGAUCGCAUGAUCGGGAAAGGAAAGACGGCCUUUGUGCUGUCGCUUAUGGAUGGACCCGCGGCGUAUUAGUUAGUUGGUGAGGUAACGGCUCACCAAGACGAUGAUACGUAGCCGACCUGAGAGGGUGAUCGGCCACAUUGGGACUGAGACACGGCCCAAACUCCUACGGGAGGCAGCAGUAGGGAAUCUUCCGCAAUGGACGAAAGUCUGACGGAGCAACGCCGCGUGAGUGAAAGAAGGUUUUCGGAUCGUAAAACUCUGUUGUCAGAGAAGAACAAGUUGGAGAGUAACUGCUCCAGCCUUGACGGUAUCUGACCAGAAAGCCACGGCUAACUACGUGCCAGCCGCGGC